rnacentral:rRNA from 1 species
CCUACGGGAGGCAGCAGUAGGGAAUAUUGCUCAAUGGGCGAAAGCCUGAACCAGCAACGCCGCGUGAAGGAUGAAGGUCCUCGGGGUUGUAAACUUUUUUUUUCGGGGAGCAAUUGGGUCCACGCGUGGGCUUAGCGAGAGUACAUGAAGUGACAGCAUCGGCUCACUCCGUGCCAGCAGCCGCGGUAAUACGGAGGAUGCGAGCGUUAUCCGGAUUGAUUGGGAUUACAGGGUGCGUAGGCGGAAUAUCUAGUCAGCCGUAAAAAUUCGGGGAUCAACCCCGUCGUGCCGUUGAAACUGAUGUUCUUGAGUGGGCGAGAGGUAGGCGGAAUUCGUGGUGUAGCGGUGAAAUGCAUAGAUAUCACGCAGAACUCCGAUGGCGAAGGCAGCAUAUCGGAGCCCAACUGACGCUGAAGCACGAAAGCGUGGGGAGCGAACAGGAUUAGAUACCCUGGUAGUC